UGGGACUGUAGUGGAGGUUACUGGGACUGUACUGUUAGUGGAGGUUACUGGGACUGUAGUGGAGGUUACUGGGACUGUAGUGGAGGUUACUGGGACUGUACUGCUAGUGGAGGUUACUGGGACUGUAGUGGAGGUUACAGGGACUGUAGUGGAGGUUACUGGGACUGUAGUGGAGGUUACUGGGACUGUAGUGGAGGUUACUGGGACUGUAGUGGAGGUUACUGGGACUGUACUGCUAGUGGAGGUUACUGGG